CACGUAGUUAGCCGGCGCUUCUUCUGCAGGUACCGUCACUUUCGCUUCUUCCCUACUGAAAGAGGUUUACAACCCGAAGGCCGUCAUCCCUCACGCGGCGUCGCUGCAUCAGGCUUUCGCCCAUUGUGCAAUAUUCCCCACUGCUGCCUCCCGUAGGAGCAGUGGGGAAUAUUGGACAAUGGGCGAAAGCCUGAU
rnacentral:rRNA from 1 species